rnacentral:snRNA from 1 species
ACACUUACUUGCCCAGGGAGAUACCAUUAUCACAAAGGUGUUUUUCCCAGGGUGAGGCUUAUCUAUUGCACUCUGGAUAUGCUGGCACCUGUGAUCUCUCAAAAUACGGAAAACUCGACUGCAUAGUUUGUGUUAAUGGGGACCUGCAUUCACACUCUCCCAU